CCAGAAGUGGUAGACUGCCUGGAAGUCUAAGAUCCAGGGCUGAAGCUUGUCAGGAACACAGAGAAGGCGUGGGAGCAGGAAAGGCCUUGGAGGAGGGGCCGGUGGGGGGAAAACAUGCAGAAUACCAUCGGAGCUCCUCUGGAACAUGUCCUUGUCUUCUCAGAGUGUGAAGUGUGUGUGUGACAGUGCUUUUCUGAGGACUCAGGUGACCUGGAGGCUGGAGAACAGCAUGGAGCAAGGAAAACAAAGACGAUGUGCUGGAGUGUAUGUUGCUUUCAUAAUUAUGUGAAAGAAAAUGUAGAGAAAUUUGAAAGUGACCUUGAUCCUGGGAAAGCAGGUGCCAUGGACGGAGAGGGAGGCCAGAAUAUAAGUCACCAGGAAAAAGUGCCACUGCUGCAAACUCUCCCAACACGCCCAACCUCAUCACCGGGUUAUGAGGAGAGUGAAUCUCAGAUGAAAAUCCACCACCCCAUGCUGUGUCCAGCCAUGCUGGAGCCUGAGCAAAAGGAAGAAUGUGUGCCUCUGUGUACCUUUAUUAAUAGUUAAUAUUUAUAUUAUUAUAUCAUUAGUAUAGAAUAUCUUUUUUUUUUUUUUUUGAGAUGGAGUCUUGCUCUGUUGCCCAGGCUGGAGUGCAGUGGCAUGAUCUUGGUUCACUGCAGCCUCCGCCUCCCGGGUUCAAGCGAUUCUCCUGCCUCAGCCUCCUGAGUAGCUGGGAUUACAGGCACCCACCAUGAUGCCCGGCUAAUUUUUGUAUUUUUAAUAAAGAUGGGGUUUCACCAUGUUGGUCAGGCUGGUCUUGAACUCCUGACUGCAGGUGAUCCACUUGCCUCGGCCUCCCAAAGUGCUGGGAUUACAGGUGUGAGCCACUGUGCCCAGCCUCAUAUAUUAUCUUUUAUAUUUACUAUACAUUAUAAAUAUGUA
rnacentral:lncRNA from 1 species